AGUUUUUCUCCCUGUGAUGAUUUGGGGCAUUUGGAAUCCCUCCAUUCCACAACUGUCAUCUUCUAGGGUUUAAAUGUCCUCUGUUUCUAGCCUCAGGAAGGAGAAAGAGGCAGUGGGCUCUGGAUGCAGAGAUGAGUAAGAUUUCAUCAGUUACCCCAACUCUGGAGAUCAGUUAAGGGAACAGCCUCUUUUGCUCUGUGUGUGUCUGUACCCUCCCACCCCCCAGAACUUUGCAUUCAGAGUUAGAUGCCCUCCAACUAGCUGCCGUAGCCUUGUGUGUACUUGCAUCAGCCAUGUCUCCUGAAAUGUAAUUUUGUGGGCAGACCCUGGACUUCUGCUUUUCACAGAACAGAACUCAGCACUUGGCGCACAAAAGAGAUUCAAGAAAUAUUGGUUGGAAGAAUCAAACAAGAAAAUCUAGAACCCUGCUGCAUUCCUCCACAGGGCAGGACGGAAGAAGGUCAGCUUUGCUCUUCUCCUGGGUUCUGGAACCAGACCUUCCUAACCUGUGCUGCUUACCUGGAGCCUCAGACCACUGUCACCCCUGCCCUCAUCUCCAGACUCUUCUUCCAGCAAGUAAGAGUCACAGCAGGUACCACAUUGAGCUGAGGCCCAUGAUCUCCAGAGGGGAGGAGGAGACUGCCGGUCCCUGCUCGGAAGCUGUUAAAAAGAACUCCUUCUUCUCACCUUGACCCCACAGCCCACUCUGUCUC
rnacentral:lncRNA from 1 species